rnacentral:rRNA from 1 species
UACGUAGGGGGCAAGCGUUGUCCGGAUUUAUUGGGCGUAAAGAGCGUGUAGGCGGCUAGAUAGGUCCGUUGUGAAAACUCGAGGCUCAACCUCGAGACGCCGGUGGAAACCAUCUAGCUAGAGUCCGGAAGAGGAGAGUGGAAUUCCUGGUGUAGCGGUGAAAUGCGCAGAUAUCGGGAGGAACACCGGUGGCGAAGGCGGUUCUCUGGGCCUUACCUGACGCUGAGGAGCGAAAGCGUGGGGAGCGAACAGG